rnacentral:rRNA from 1 species
UACGUAGGGGGCUAGCGUUGUCCGGAAUUAUUGGGCGUAAAGGGCUCGUAGGCGGUUUGUCACGUCGGGAGUGAAAACUCAGGGCUUAACCCUGAGCUUGCUUCCGAUACGGGCAGACUAGAGGUAUGCAGGGGAGAACGGAAUUCCUGGUGUAGCGGUGAAAUGCGCAGAUAUCAGGAGGAACACCGGUGGCGAAGGCGGUUCUCUGGGCAUUACCUGACGCUGAGGAGCGAAAGUGUGGGGAGCGAACAGG